CAACAAUGCUUAAAACAUCACAAUGUUCUGACAUUGCCGGUUAUUUUUCGCCUCCCAUCGGAGAACACAGGACCAUACAAUCAUGGUGGCUGAUAAAUAACGACGCAAUUGACUUGAAAUCGCAACCGCUUUUACCACGCUCACUGCAAAAGGGAUGCUGUUCCACAAAGGAGCGUUGUCUUCGGAUGGUUGCAAUACAUUAUAUUCAGUUAUAUGCGCCAGUGGUGUGUUCAGUUGACAUAUGGGGUCAAAUGAGACUGCUUUGUGAUUUGAAACUCCUGAGAAAUCUCCCCAGACAAGCUUAAAUUCCUUGGAAGGAAAUAAAUAUGCUCGUCGUGACAUCCUGGCUCGAUUUAUUCACGUCACGAGGACAUCUCUGGUUUUGUUGAACCUGUCGGAUGUGUUUUAUUGUUGCCUUUUCACACACGCUUUUUAUUUAUUUAUUUGUAAGCUCUGUUCCACUUGGUUCUUUCGGUUUUCCCGCACCCAUCCAGAUGUAAGCCGUAUUCAUUUUUUGUUUAUCAAUAUUUGCUUUUUGUAUCAAUAUGCAAAAACUUUUAUUAAUGACCAAUAUGUGCAGAUUUCCUUUUCACAGCCUUUU
ensembl:ncRNA lncRNA:CR44935 long non-coding RNA:CR44935